UGAGUAAUGCCUAGGAAUCUGCCUGGUAGUGGGGGAUAACGUUCGGAAACGGACGCUAAUACCGCAUACGUCCUACGGGAGAAAGCAGGGGACCUUCGGGCCUUGCGCUAUCAGAUGAGCCUAGGUCGGAUUAGCUAGUUGGUGGGGUAAUGGCUCACCAAGGCGACGAUCCGUAACUGGUCUGAGAGGAUGAUCAGUCACACUGGAACUGAGACACGGUCCAGACUCCUACGGGAGGCAGCAGUGGGGAAUAUUGGACAAUGGGCGAAAGCCUGAUCCAGCCAUGCCGCGUGUGUGAAGAAGGUCUUCGGAUUGUAAAGCACUUUAAGUUGGGAGGAAGGGCAGUUACCUAAUACGUAAUUGUUUUGACGUUACCGACAGAAUAAGCACCGGCUAACUCUGUGCCAGCAGCCGCGGUAAUACAGAGGGUGCAAGCGUUAAUCGGAAUUACUGGGCGUAAAGCG
rnacentral:rRNA from 1 species